GCCCAGUGUAGGUGGUGUUUGAUGUUUGGCUGCGGGUGCUUGUUAUCCCUGUGUGCUGUCUUAGGUCUACACAGACAGUUGGCACAGCAGACCUCAAGCGAACUGCCCAACGACCACAAGAUUCGUUAAGGGACAAAGGCAC